rnacentral:snoRNA from 1 species
CCCAUCCCAGUUCAAUGAUGAAUACAAGAAACCUUACGGCAUUAGGAAGAGCCGGAAAAGGAUGUCAGGAAAACUACACUUUCUGUUGGCUGAAGAAGAGUAUCGUCAAAUGCCUUUUUCUCGCCCCGAAUUCGUGUAUCCUGGCGUCGGUGCUUAGAAUGGUUCUUCUGAUAUAUACAACUCC